rnacentral:rRNA from 1 species
UACGGAGGGUGCAAGCGUUAUCCGGAUUCACUGGGUUUAAAGGGUGCGUAGGUGGGCAGGUAAGUCAGUGGUGAAAUCUCCGGGCUUAACCCGGAAACUGCCGUUGAUACUAUCUGUCUUGAAUGUAGUGGAGGUGAGCGGAAUAUGUCAUGUAGCGGUGAAAUGCUUAGAUAUGACAUAGAACAUCGAUUGCGAAGGCAGCUCGCUAAGCUAUGAUUGACACUGAGGCACGAAAGCGUGGGGAUCAAACAGG